CAGAAGCCCAAGAAAGAAGUCGAACAACUAAAAAAGGCCGCAAAGGAGGCCGAAAUAAAGUUUCUGAUUUGUUUGACCACCUACAUCCCGGGACGGUGUCAGGAAAAAGAAAAAGAGUGGACAAGUGACACGUUUGCCUCUACGUGGAACGAAUUCAACAAGGUUGUUGAUCACGUCGUUUUACAGUGACCAAGAACUGGCAGUUGUUUUAUUAAACAAAAAAAAAACAAAAAAAAGGCACUGACAGCUAUGUU